ACAGUACAAGUCCUUACCAGGAAGGUGCAUGUGAGAAAAACAUGGAUAAUUUGUCAGCUGUCUGAGAAGAGGGUGUAUUGUGGCUAGCCACCCAGUGGGACUGAUCCUUCUCCUGAUGGACUUGCUCCUGAUUUACCUCAGGGAAAAUAGUGGAGGAGACUUUCAAAUUCCCAGAGCUGCAGAUCAAGCAUCAACUGCAACAGUGAACAGACUUGGAGGAUUGAGGGAUGCUGAAAGGCCAAGAAUCUGACGUGCUGAGGCAUGUGACAAUAAGGUCACUGGACUACAGGAAACCUCAGAAGGUCAGGCCAAAGGUCACUGGACUACAGGAAACCUCAG